AAUAUUUCUUUCGUUUUUUCUUUAAAUUACUUUCGCUUUAUUACUUCCUCUAUCUGCUGGGUGCUGAUUAUCUUUUGGGUCCUCCUGUUUGGUAGCUGAGAAAUCUCGGGAAAACGAACAAUUAAGUGGGAAUUUUUUAAUGGACUGAGUUUCGAAAAGACUGUUAAAUUCCAUGUUUUUUCCUUCUUUAGUUUUUCCCAGAAACCAAAAGUCUGCCAUUUUCUUUUUCUGGAUGAAUAACUCUGUUUUUUUUUUUUUUCCUUUGUUUUUGUAUUUGUUUUAGCGUAAGAUUAGUGGCUACAAUGUUUGUUCUUGGCUGCCUGUUAAGUUGUAAUGAAAAAAGCAGGCUCAUUUAUUUGUUUUUUUUCGUUACGUAUUUCUCUGCUUCAUCACUCGUCAAACUAGAUCUGAUGUAGAUCUCUGUAUACGGUGAGAUCUGCACUGGAGAGCCUGUUAUCUUGAUUAUCCAUCUAAAUUGUUCAUUUUCUUCUGUUGACUUGAAGAUAAUGCUGCAACUCUGGUCAAAGCAGUACUUAAAAUUCACGUUUAGGGUUAUAUUUAUUGGAUUAAAUUUUCUCUUUCUCGAUAAUAGUUUAGUUAGACAGCAGGAAACUUUCUUUCUUUCCUUCUUUUAAAAAAAUAAAUUACAACGAAUUGUAUGAUAUUGAUAAUCUGCAAUGACUGGAAGGUUGUUCAGAAAACUCUGUUGAGUUUGAUUUCUGUUGCAUGCAAAUGAGCCAAAUUUGUGUUGAGCUUUUGGUGUUAAUACUACAUUUCAUCCUUGGGUUGUAAUACUAAUUUAGGGUCAUCAACACUACGUAUUUGAUGCAUUUGGGUGAUUUCAAUUUCAGAUGUUCUUGUUUGCCAACUGUAAUUAGUUGGAUUACUCAUUCUUAAGAUUUUUGAGUUGACUAAAAAGCCACCCUCUCUCUCUGCCAACCUCAUAUGUAUUAAAACUAACUAACUAAUUUUCAAAAGAAAUUAGAACUAAAGUCAACCUGUGCGGUGCUGUGAUGGUUUCUGACAUGUUAACAAGUCUGUAUAUGGAGAAUAAUAGGCUCUGUUAAAAUCUCUUCUUCUUUCUUUCUUUCUUGCCGUUUCCUUAAUCAUCCUCCGGAUUUAGUUGGAGUUCUUUGAAACAUAACUAAUGCCUUUAUGUUCACCCAUAUGCACAGGCUGGAAGCAUUGACUGAAUUCUGGCUAUACUAUCAAAGAAACAUGAAAUUUGAAUUGAAGAAAAGAUGGAGAGCCAUUGCCCCACAUCAAUUGAAAAACAAAUCAGCUGGCCGUUUUUGUUUAUUUCCCAAAUCAAAGUCAGAUCGCUCUGAUCCGAGAAAAGCACCAGUUUAUCUCAAUGUAUAUGAUUUGACACCCAUGAAUGGCUACGUCUAUUGGGCAGGCCUUGGAAUUUUUCACUCUGGUGUUGAAGUUCAUGGUGUAGAAUAUGCAUUUGGAGCACACGACUACCCUACCAGUGGUGUUUUUGAGGUUGAACCUCGCCAAUGCCCAGGAUUCAAGUUCAGGAAGUCUAUAUUUAUUGGGACCACAUCCUUGGACCCUACUCAGGUUAGGGAGUUUAUGGAGCGCCAGUCUUUGAGCUACAAUGGUGAUACAUAUCACCUGAUUGUCAAGAACUGCAACCAUUUCUGCAGGGAUAUCUGUCACAAGUUAACUGGAAAAUCGAUUCCCAAAUGGGUAAAUCGACUAGCAAAAAUAGGUUCAAUAUGCAACUGCGUACUUCCUGAAGCCCUAAAGAUUUCUGCUGUGCAACACGACCCAAACUGCCAGCCAUACGACAGCGAGAAGAGGAGUUUGAGAAGUACGUUCAGUUGUCUGUCUUCUAUUUCAAUGCGGCAGAAGCAAUUGUCAUCAUCAUCGUUAUUUCUACAGUCACCCCUAAAAGGCUGCUUACCGCCAUGGGAAUUGAGAAGGUCGAACAAUGGUUCCUUGAAGGAAAGGUGAGAGAAACUGUUCUAUAGUAUGAUGACUGGCGUGGCGUCCAUAACCUUUAAUGAGGGGAAUUUGUUGCUAAGUUUUUGUGCGUCGGCAAUUGAAAGCUGCCAUCACUCAGAUUGUUUUUGUUCUCCCAGGUUAGACGUGACAAAACUCCGCCAAGUGUAAAUUGUGCUGUUAGCGUAGCUUGUAACAUCAUUGUCUUGGCAAAUGAAUGCAUCAACGUGCAGAAACUUUGAUUCCCAUCUCAAGUAAGGCUUAGGAGGCGGGAA